UACGUAGGGGGCAAGCGUUGUCCGGAUUUAUUGGGCGUAAAAGGCUUGUAGGUGGCCACGCCAAGUCGGAUGUGAAAUCUCCCGGCUCAACUGGGAGGGGUCAUUCGAUACUGGCGGGCUCGAGGCCGGUAGGGGGAAGUGGAAUUCCCGGUGUAGCGGUGAAAUGCGCAGAUAUCGGGAGGAACACCUAUGGCGAAGGCAGCUCGCUGGGACGUUACUGACGCUGAGACGCGAAAGCGUGGGGAGCAAACAGG
rnacentral:rRNA from 1 species